CGCCAUUACACCCCCCAAGCCUCGCUUGAUGUUGGGCCAUGAUGCGCUAUCAGACCCCAAACCUCUAGGCGCCCCCCGCUGGCCGCGAGCGUAGCAAGAUUUUCAAUCCUCGCUCCGCGUGUCCAACGGGUCGGCUGCCUGUGAAACCCAUUUCUACAAGGUUUGGCCUCGGAUCAGGCGGGGAUACCCGCUGAACUUAA
rnacentral:misc_RNA from 1 species